UUCGCACCUCUUUGUCUCGUGUUGUUGCAGCAGGUGGAAUGACUCGUGUCGAUCGUGGCACGAAUCUCUGAGUCGUCCCUCUCUCUCAGCUCGCUGGUAUAAAUGUGUAUCAGACCGUGAUCACAUGUUGUGGCUCCAGUUUCCUCUCAGCGCGGAGCGGAGCACGUGACGCGGCUCUCCGUGGUGUCAGAGUGGAGAAGAAACAGGUGUUAUUCCUUUGUAAAUACUGUUAUUUGUAUAUACUGUAAAUGAUGACGUCCAUGGGCGGGAACCGAGCCCGGGGCAGCUGGGAGCAGACACAGGGCCAGACACAGAGUCAGACACAGCACAAGCAGAGGCCUCAGGCCACUGCAGAGCAGAUCCGACUCGCACAGAUGAUUUCAGACCACAAUGAUGCCGACUUUGAAGAGAAGGUCAAACAGGUGA